rnacentral:rRNA from 1 species
UGCCUCUUGGACUGGGACAACUGUUGGAAACGACAGCUAAUACCGGAUAUUAUGAGAUUCUCGCAUGAGAAACUUAUGAAAGCUAUAUGCGCCAAGAGAGAGCCUUGCGUUCCAUUAGCUAGUUGGUGGGGUAACGGCCCACCAAGGCGACGAUGGAUAGCCGGCCUGAGAGGGUGAACGGCCACAAGGGGACUGAGACACGGCCCUUACUCCUACGGGAGGCAGCAGUGGGGAAUAUUGGACAAUGGGCCACAAGCCUGAUCCAGCAAUUCUGUGUGCACGAUGAAGGUCUUCGGAUUGUAAAGUGCUUUCAGUUGGGAAGAAGAAAGUGACGGUACCAACAGAAGAAGCGACGGCUAAAUACGUGCCAGCAGCCGCGGUAAUACGUAUGUCGCAAGCGUUAUCCGGAUUUAUUGGGCGUAAAGCGCGUCUAGGCGGAAAAAUAAGUCUGAUGUUAAAAUGCGGGGCUCAACUCCGUAUUGCGUUGGAAACUGUUUUUCUAGAGUACUGGAGAGGUGGGCGGAACUACAAGUGUAGAGGUGAAAUUCGUAGAUAUUUGUAGGAAUGCCGAUGGAGAAGUCAGCUCACUGGACAGAUACUGACGCUGAAGCGCGAAAGCGUGGGGAGCAAACAGG